rnacentral:rRNA from 1 species
GACGAACGCUGGCGGCGUGCUUAACACAUGCAAGUCGAACGGAAAGGCCCUGCUUUUGUGCGGUGCUCGAGUGGCGAACGCGUGCGUAACACGUGUGUAUCCUGCCCUUGUCUUUCGUAUAACUUCAGGAAACUGGGCCUAAUACCGUAUAGCAUCUCCCGUUCCAUUGUGGGGGUUGGAAAGUCUCGGCGGGCGGGGUUGGAUGCGCGGCUUAUCGGCUAGCUGGUUGGGUAGUGGCUUACCCAGGCUUUGACGGAUACCCCGCCUGAGAGGGUGAACGGCGACAAUGGGACUGAGAGACGGCGCAGACUGCUACGGGAGACAGCAGUGGGGAGUAUUGUACAGUGGGAGGAAGCGUGAUGCGGCAGCGCCGCGUGCGGGAUGACGGUCUUCGGGUUGAAAACAGCUUUAGCCUAUGACGAAGCGUGAGUGACGGUAAUGGAUAAAGAAGCACCGGCUAACUACGUG